rnacentral:rRNA from 1 species
CGUGUAGGCGGUACCAUAAGUCAGAUGUGAAAGCCCUAGGCUUAACCUAGGAGGUGCAUUUGAUACUGUGGAACUAGAGAUCGAGAGAGGUAAGUGGAAUUACGAGUGUAGAGGUGAAAUUCGUAGAUAUUCGUAAGAACACCAGUGGCGAAGGCGACUUACUGGCUCGAUACUGACGCUAAGGCGCGAAAGCGUGGGGAGCAAACAGGAUUAGAUACCCUGGUAGUCCACGCUGUAAACGAUGAGUGCUAGAUGUUGGUGAAGGAAUUCAUCAGUGUCGCAGCUAACGCAUUAAGCACUCCGCCUGGGGAGUACGGUCGCAAGAUUAAA